AUUAAAAAUGAAAAUCUACAGACAGAAAAACUGGAUCUGGAAGCUAAAAAUGAUGAUCUCCAGUUGGUAAGUAAUGCUAAGAAACAGCAGAAGAAGAGAUUCUUCUGCUGUUUCAAGAGUGAGAGAGGAGGACAAAAUGGUAAAAAAAAAGUAAAGAAAGAGAAGAGGAAGAAGGUGGGUUGCUGGAGCUGGAUGUUCUAAACUUCCUUUCUCCAACUUCUUAUCAAAAAAUGAAAAAAAAAAUGAAACUCUCCAGAAAGAAAAACUGGAUCUGGAGAUUAAAAAUGAAAAUCUACAGACAGAAAAACUGGAUCUGGAAGCUAAAAAUGAUGAUCUCCAGUUGGUAAGUAACGCUAAGAAACAGCAGAAGAAGAGAUUCUUCUGCUGUUUCAAGAGCGAGAGAGGAGGAGAAAGUGGUAAAAAAAAAGUAAAGAAAGAGAAGAGGAGGAAGGUGGGUUGCUGGAGCUGGAUGUUCUCAACUUCCUUUCUCCAACUUCUUACCAAAAAAUGAAAAAAAAAAAGAAAAUCUCCAGAAAGAAAAACUGGAUCCAGAGAUUAAAAAGGAAAAUCUACAGACAGAAAAACUGGAUCUGGAAGCUAAAAAUGAUGAUCUCCAGUUGGUAAGUAAUGCUAAGAAAAAGCAGAAGAAGAGAUUCUUCUGCUGUUUCAAGAGUGAGAGAGGAGGAGAAAAUGGUAAAAAAAAAGUAAAGAAAGAGAAGAGGAAGAAGGUGGGUUGCUGGAGCUGGAUGUUCUAAACUUCCUUUCUCCAACUUCUUACCAAAAAAUGGAAAAAAAAAAUGAAAAUCUCCAGAAAGAAAAACUGGAUCCAGAGAUUAAAAAGGAAAAUCUACAGACAGAAAAACUGGAUCUGGAAGCUAAAAAUGAUGAUCUCCAGUUGGUAAGUAAUGCUAAGAAACAGCAGAAGAAGAGAUUCUUCUGCUGUUUCAAGAGUGAGAGAGGAGGAGAAAAUGGUAAAAAAAAAAAAGUAAAGACAGAGAAGAGGAAGAAGGUGGGUUGCUGGAGCUGGAUGUUCUAAACUUCCUUUCUCCAACUUCUUACCAAAAAAUGAAAAAAAAAAUGAAACUCUUCAGAAAGAAAAACUGGAUCUGGAG
ensembl:lncRNA